rnacentral:rRNA from 1 species
CCUACGGGUGGCUGCAGUGGGGAAUAUUGGACAAUGGGCGGAAGCCUGAUCCAGCAACGCCGCGUGAGGGAUGACGGCCUUCGGGUUGUAAACCUCUUUCAGCACAGACGAAGCGCAAGUGACGGUAUGUGCAGAAGAAGGACCGGCCAACUACGUGCCAGCAGCCGCGGUAAUACGUAGGGUCCGAGCGUUGUCCGGAAUUAUUGGGCGUAAAGGGCUCGUAGGCGGUUUGUCGCGUCGGGAGUGAAAACACCGGGCUUAACUCGGUGCUUGCU